UACGAAGGGGACUAGCGUUGUUCGGAAUCACUGGGCGUAAAGCGCACGUAGGCGGAUUUGUAAGUCAGGGGUGGAAUCCCGGGGCUCAACCUCGGAACUGCCUUUGAUACUGCGAAUCUUGAGUCCGAUAGAGGUGGGUGGAAUUCCUAGUGUAGAGGUGAAAUUCGUAGAUAUUAGGAAGAACACCGGUGGCGAAGGCGGCCCACUGGAUCGGUACUGACGCUGAGGUGCGAAAGCGUGGGGAGCAAACAGG
rnacentral:rRNA from 1 species